AGGCAUGGGAGCAGCCUGGCAUACUGGCUGGGAGACCAGAGGCUGCCCAAACUCACGCUUAGGAUUCCCAGAGCUACACCUUGGCUGUGAGCAUCCUCCUCUGGCUGUGCUACUGGGUCCUGUGUGUGAGAUGAAAGGGUACAAGGGUGGGAUGAGGAGAAAAUAAUUCCGGAUAGGAGCAUCAAGGGAGCUGUGGGCCCAGAGAUGCCGUGUAGGUGGGUGCGAAGGAAAACAAGCAGGAGUGAGAAUUAAGAUUUGUGACCCAGAGACCAAAGGGAUAGAAAAAGGCAGCCCGAGGUAUUGCAGAGAGCGAUGGAAAAGGAGUCAGAAGUUCAAGGUUCAAGUCCUACCUCUUCUGUCUCAGAGCAUCAUGAUCAAACGUGCCUCUUCCCAUAACUGAGGCUCAGUUUGCUAGAAAUUAGGGGUUAGGUGUUCAUCAGCAAGAUUGCUUUUUAAUUCUAUGAAAUUAUUUGUGCCAUAGUCGAUAAGGGACUACUGUGAGCCCCGAGGAAAUACAGACAAACUAGCUGUGGACCCCACAGACAAGGAGCUCAUGUCUAGAGCGGGAUACAGGAAUAAAGAGCUACCUAUCGACAUGGUGAUAAAUUCGGCAGGAGAACUGGACUUGGAUGCACAGGCUCCAAGCCAGGAAGUGGUAGAGAAAUCAGGGUGCUGGGCAGCAGUAGGAUGGAGGCUUGGUUCUCAGAAAGGAGGGAGGAAUGAGGAGCCACUUGAACUUGCAAAAGCCUGAACGUGAGGCUCGUGUGGCUGGGCUGAGCUGCACCUGUAUUUUAGGUCCAGGACAGACUUGAUAGAGGUGAGAGGGAUGGGGGAUCUCUUGGUAAAGGCAGUUACCCAUAAACCAGAGGAAGAGUUCACGCUCUGUCCUAUCUGGCUUGUAACCCUGUAACCUGUCGCCCUAAAUCUGCUCUCCUCGCGUAGCACUCUCAGCACUUACCCUUGAUGGCCCCAGCUUUCUGGGGACUCAGGAGGGUCAUCAAGAUGUGGAGUCCCAGGACCAGCCCCCCAUGGAGGACCAUGGCCCUCUGGUGUUUUAACCAAAUAAGUCUUGGUUGGUGUGUGUGUUGCGGGGGCGGGUAAAGGAAGAAAGCAGAGGAGGAAGAAAACAGAGACUGGGGUGGGGGAGACCCCUGCCAUAUUCAGCCAAUCAGAGAAAUUCUCUGAGUUAGCAGAGCUGUUGCUGGGUAAAGCAGUAAAGAGCCUGGGUGAGAAGAUGGAAGAAUUCAUUGUACCCACUUGUGCCCGGGAGGCUUGGCCCACAGAAGAGUCAACAGGGAUGGGAGGGGCUUAAAUCAACUGAUACCACAACCCCCAAGAAGAGACCUUCUGAAGGGAGAGAAAAGGCAUCAGAGCACCUGGCAGCCCACUUGUCUUCGCGAGACCCGGCUUCUAGAUCCCGGUUGGAGACCUCCUUGGGAUCGAAACUGAGUGAGCUCCAACGCUUCAGGAUUUCAAACAUUAGGACUUUGUCCUUGGGGACCGGGAAGAUCAAGACGGUGAAGUCUGGGAUCCGCCUGGAUUAAGAGGACCGGCAGGAGCCAGGAAGUGCUGAGUGAGGAUGGGAAGCCCUGGGAGCUGCGAGAGGCCGGUUACCGAUGCCCGGCUGUGCGGCCAGCCCUGAACCGAAGGGACACCUGAUCCAGAGCCCUGAAUAAGCCCGGGGAAGGACCGCAGGAAGGAGGGGGU